rnacentral:tRNA from 2 species
CGGGGCGUCGCACAGCCUGGUAGUGCACCUGCUUUGGGAGCAGGGGGUCGCUGGUUCAAAUCCAGUCGCCCCGACCA